UCACAAAAAAAAAUUACAUAUCCGUCAUCAAUGCUCUUGCAUGGAAAAAAAGAACCAAAGAAACGUCUAUAGCUCCAGAUGAAAUUUCCGAAGAAAAUCUCACGUUUUUCCAAAAAAUUAUAGUUGCUUUGAAAAAAAAUCUUGUAUGGCAAAGUAGUGGACAAUCUAUAACUGAGUCAGAAAAAAAUCUUUUGGAACCUGG